GACGAACGCCGGCGGCGUGCUUAACACAUGCAAGUCGAACGGAAAGGCCCUGCUUUUGUGGGGUGCUCGAGUGGCGAACGGGUGAGUAACACGUGAGUAACCUGCCCUUGACUUUGGGAUAACUUCAGGAAACUGGGGCUAAUACCGGAUAGGAGCUCCUGCUGCAUGGUGGGGGUUGGAAAGUUUCGGCGGUUGGGGAUGGACUCGCGGCUUAUCAGCUUGUUGGUGGGGUAGUGGCUUACCAAGGCUUUGACGGGUAGCCGGCCUGAGAGGGUGACCGGCCACAUUGGGACUGAGAUACGGCCCAGACUCCUACGGGAGGCAGCAGUGGGGAAUAUUGCACAAUGGGCGGAAGCCUGAUGCAGCAACGCCGCGUGCGGGAUGACGGCCUUCGGGUUGUAAACCGCUAUCGCCUGUGACGAAGCGUGAGUGACGGUAAUGGGUAAAGAAGCACCGGCUAACUACGUG
rnacentral:rRNA from 1 species